AUGGCAGGGUCGCCCCGACGACCGAGGACUUGGCGCCAGUCCCCCGCACCAGUAGAGGGCUGUAGUUCCUCGUUGCAAAAAGUCAGACACCAUUGCCCAGGCCAGGAACAAAGGAGUAGAAGAGGUAUCAGCUGCAAAGAUCUUCACUGGAGAGGUACUGCUGGAGGUGAGGAGGGAUGGAGGCCAAGGGGGCAGCCUUGUGUUCUACACUACUCUGCUCCAUCUAACUUUCCAGAGAAAAACAAAUUUUCAACUGCCAGAAAACUUGAUAAGGAAAUGUUACAAGAAAAGAAAUUAGUUGCCUAAAUUGUGUCACUUUUUUAGUAUUUCUUACACUAUAUAAAUCUCAAAAAUUCCCAAGUAGACAAGAAAUAAAAGUGAAGAAAAAUUAUGAACACUUUCGAUGUAUUUGAUGAGGAUAUGGAGUAGAAUUAGAAUUUAAAGUUUCUGAUGUAGUUCUUUUAUGUUACUUGUUCCUAAUGAAUUUUCCUUAAGGAAUAUUAGGUGGGGAAAACAGGUAUAUUUAAAGUAUCUAACUUUGUAUAAUAAUUGGUUCUUUCUUUCUUUCUUUCUUUCUUUCAAGGGUGAAGUUGGUGAGUCUUAAGCAGACUCCAUGCCCAGCAUGGAGCACAACAUGAGGCUCCAUCUCACAACCCUGAGAUUGUGACCUGAGCUGAAAACAAGAGUCAGAUGCUCUACUGACUGAGACACCCAGACACCUCAGAUCCCAAUAUUUCUUAAAUAAAACAUUUCUAGUUAGUUUGAAUAUACCUAAAUCUGUAUAUUAUGUAGAACUCUUGAAUUGGAAAGAAUCUAGACCAAUUUUAUUCCAGGAUAAAGAUAAAUAUAAUGGUUGGUUCAGUGUUGGUUGUGUCCUCCUAGCUGGUUAACACAAUAAAGACCCAUAUUCAGUUCUGGGUGCAUGUGCAUGACUGCAAGGGGUUAAAAAAAAAAUCUCAGGUUCUCUUAAUUCUGAGAGCAUGUGGUGGCCAGCCCAGAGCCAGAUUGAGCCAUGUUAAUUUCCCAGAAGAUUUCAAAGAAUUAUCUUUUGAAAGGGGGAAGUUUGGGCUAAUAAAAACCAGGAUAACCUCCGGCAGUCACAUGGAAAAGAAUAGAAACAAAUUACUCCUGGCUUGUUCGACAUUGCUGCCGGGGGCUUUCUCUGGCUAACCCAGACUGCUUUGUUUUUCUUUGUUGCAACGAGAGAAGUUACUAGUAAUGUCCUAGGAAAGGUAAGAGCAGCAAAGUUGUGCCAAGUGCUCAUCUGUGU
rnacentral:lncRNA from 1 species